UACGUAGGUGGCGAGCGUUGUCCGGAUUUACUGGGCGUAAAGGGUGCGUAGGCGGAUAUUUAAGUGGGAUGUGAAAACCCCGGGCUUAACCUGGGGACUGCAUUUCAAACUGGAUAUCUGGAGUGCAGGAGAGGAAAGCGGAAUUCCUAGUGUAGCGGUGAAAUGCGUAGAGAUUAGGAAGAACACCAGUGGCGAAGGCGGCUUUCUGGACUGUAACUGACGCUGAGGCACGAAAGCGUGGGUAGCAAACAGG
rnacentral:rRNA from 1 species